GACGAACGCUGGCGGCGUGCCUAACACAUGCAAGUCGAGCGAGUGAAUCUCCUUCGGGAGUGAAGCUAGCGGCGGACGGGUGAGUAACACGUGGGCAACCUGCCUCAUAGAGGGGAAUAGCCUUUCGAAAGGAAGAUUAAUACCGCAUAAGAUUGUAGCUUCGCAUGAAGUAGCAAUUAAAGGAGCAAUCCGCUAUGAGAUGGGCCCGCGGCGCAUUAGCUAGUUGGUGAGGUAACGGCUCACCAAGGCGACGAUGCGUAGCCGACCUGAGAGGGUGAUCGGCCACAUUGGGACUGAGACACGGCCCAGACUCCUACGGGAGGCAGCAGUGGGGAAUAUUGCACAAUGGGGGAAACCCUGAUGCAGCAACGCCGCGUGAGUGAUGACGG
rnacentral:rRNA from 1 species